UAAUUCGAAUUCACGGAACCAAAUGAAAGGAGCUGUCAGACGAGGGAGAUUAAACCACGUGCAGUUGCCCUGCUAGAUUGCUUUGAAAAUGGCAAAUAGAUCCGCGGAGAACACUUCUCAGGGCAAAGGGUCAAAUCUGGACUUCAAAACUGCAAUGGAUAUCCUGGUUUGCUGAUGUGAGUACAGAAUUGAUUAAUGGAGCAAGGUCAAGGCUUAUAUUGAAGACCAUUUGAUUUUUUAAGUGAUUUUGGCAACAGAUUCACCAUUGCUGUUAUGUUUGGAGCCACUUCCAGCACAUGCCUGAGUAUGUUUUUACAACUAAAAAAUGGAAUUUUUCAGAUGCCUGCAUGACCCAGCUGGAUGGGUGCAGGUUUUUCAGAAUAAUUAUUGUCACUGUUCUUGUAUACAGGAUCCUGUUCUACCCAUUUUUUGCCUGCCUGACAACUGACAACAGACUGGUUGGGUCCUUGCUGGGUUUUCUUUAUGUUACAAUCAGCUCUACUCCUCACCUUGUCAUUGCUGAUCUUUUAGGCUAGCCCCGUUGUGUUUUGCCUGAUUUGGCAGUGUCAUUUUGGUCGGUAGUUUGACCUCCGUUUGUUUUGCACCUUUUUCCUGAUUUGGCAUCGUCGUUUUGACCGUACAUGUUCUGGGCUAAAUUGUUUUUGCGCCGCG